CAUAACAUCUCUAUUAGAACUAUAGAAACAUCUCUAUUAGAGCUAUAGAAACAUAUCUCUAUUAGAACUAUAGAAACAUAUCUCUAUUGGAACUAUAGAAACAUAUCUCUAUUAGAACUAUAGAAACUUCUCUAUUAGAACUAUAGAAACAUCUCUAUUAGAGCUAUAGAAACAUAUCUCUAUUAGAGCUAUAGAAACAUAUCUCUAUUAGAACUAUAGAAACACAACAUCUCUAUUAGAACUAUAGAAACAUAACAUCUCUAUUAGAACUAUAGAAACAUAACAUCUCUAUUAGAACUAUAGAAACAUAACAUCUCUAUUAGAACUAUAGAAACAUCUCUAUUAGAGCUAUAGAAACAUCUCUAUUAGAGCUAUAGAAACAUAACAUCUCUAUUAGAACUAUAGAAACAUAACAUCUCUAUUAGAACUAUAGAAACAUAACAUCUCUAUUAGAACUAUAUAAACAUAAUAUCUCUAUUCGAACUAUAGAAACAAUAUCUCUAGAGCUAUAGAAACAUAAUAUCUCUAUUAGAACUAUAGAAACAACAUCUCUAUUAGAACUAUAGAAACAUAAUAUCUCUAUUAGAACUAUAGAAACAUAAUAUCUCUAUUAGAACUAGAAACAUAAUAUCUCUAUUAGAACUAGAAACAAGAACAAUAGAAACAACAUUGAAUGUAAACUAAGACAGUUUUUCCAAAAGCACUGAUAUUAACAUAUUGUAUGCAGUAAAACAUGUUCAUGGAAUUGGCCUAUUUUCUGUACUAACUUUUCCCCUACUAAUUAUUUCCCAUACUAACUUCACUUUUACUUGAUGUUUGUCUUUAUGUUUGUCUUUACAAAAGUUUGUCUUUCCCAUAUUAUCGUGUCAAGUCCAUCUUAUCAUUUCCGGGACAGUCUCCAUUGCUUUCUAGCCACUGACGGCUUCUUCUCUGCUGGCCAGUUCACAUCUGCCACUUUCACACAUUCAGGUGGUCCUCCAAUUACUUCCAGAUACUGUGGUAAAUCUGAGAUGACCUUUUGUUCACUGGCAGCAGGUAUUGCAUCAGACACACAAUCUGAACAUCCCCAUACCAGUUUAUCAUCUCUUGGGCUUGUUGACUCCAUUCCUGUGCAUGCACUUUGACCUUUUGUUCUUUGACCUCCAGUAUAACGCCAGGGUAUGGUUGUUCAUCCUAGUUCACAAUGCACCACUGUCCAGUGUGGUGAGCCUCGAUGACAUCUGGACGAAGUGGAGCUGAGGUAUCUGGGUUGGCGACAUCUGGACGAAGUGGAGCUGAGGUAUCUGGGUCGAUGACAUCUGGACAAAGUGGAGCUGAGGUAUCUGGGUCGGCGACAUCUGGACAAAGCGGAGCUGAGAUAUCUGGGUCGGCGACAUCUGGACAAAGUGGAGCUGAGAGACCAUGGCCAUUAGCCGGGGCUGUGAUUUCUUGGAGUCUAUAACAUGGGCAAUCCCACAUGCUAUGCGCUGCUUGGCAGAGACAACUGUCUCUGUAUUUGAGGAUGCCAGGCACGAUACACUUUCCUUUUAUGGUGACCAGAGGUACCCCAGAAAUCCUCUGUGCCUUACUUUCCACCUCUGCCUCACUGACAUAAUACAACUGUAUUUGAGUGCCAGAGUCCCUUACCUCCCGAUAGAAAUACAUUGUGUCCGUUAUGUCUUUUCAGUGGUGGACCAAGAGGUCAGCUGACCCGCCCACUCCAACACUGUUUCUCCUGCUCUCAACAUCUGUGUUAUUUCUGUCUGACCCACCAUUGCUUUCACUCAUGUCUUGUUCCACUUUCUGUGACAACAUUCAUUCUUUUUUUUUUCAACUCUCUAAAACCUUUCACUAAAUCCUGUGUUUUUUUCCAAGGUAGGUUGCUCGGUGAUCCAGGUCAGCAUCCCUGCGCGGUCAAAUCAAAUUUAUUUAUCAGCUGAUAUCUCAAAGUGCUGUACAGAAACCCAGCCUAAAACCCCAAACAGCAAGCAAUGCAGGUGUAGAAGCACGGUGGCUAGGAAAAACUCCCUAGAAAGGCCAAAACCUAGGAAGAAACCUAGAGAGGAACCAGGCUAUGUGGGGUGGCCAGUCCUCUUCUGGCUGUGCCGGGUGGAGAUUAUAACAGAACAUGGCCAAGAUGUUCAAAUGUUCAUAGAUGACCAGCAGGGUCGUAUAAUAAUAAGGCAGAACAGUUGAAACUGGAGCAGCAGCACGGUCAGGUGGACUGGGGACAGCAAGGAGUCAUCAUGUCAGG
ensembl:lncRNA